rnacentral:misc_RNA from 1 species
GAACUGCGAUAAGUAAUGUGAAUUGCAGAAUUCAGUGAAUCAUCGAGUCUUUGAACGCACAUUGCGCCCGCCAGCACUCUGGCGGGCAUGCCUGUUCGAGCGUCAUUUCAACCCUCAGAACCCCUUGCGGGAUCUGGCGUUGGGGAUUGGCAUCCAGCCAGCCCCGAAAUCUAGUGGCGGUCCCUCCGCGACCUCCCCUGUGCAGUAGCGAUACCUCGCAGCGGGACAGCGGUCUGACCACGCCGUAAAACCCCCAACUUCUCAAGGUUGGCCUCGAAUCAGGUAGGAAUACCCGCUGAACUUAAGC